UACAAAGGUCACCUGUUCGGCCCUGCC
rnacentral:piRNA from 1 species